CUUUCUUUCACGUGUAUGACAUCGUUGGGUCUUAGUUGUCACUCUGUUCGCAAAACUGCCACUCUCAUUGCGCAAAGGCCGACGCUAAUUGCUGAAUGCUCAUCAAAAGCAAUUUUCUGUAUCUUCUUCUUCCUGUCCUCAUCCGCCAUUUUUUCCUAAAAAAAGCUUCAACCGCAAGACUGUGUGCUGUGCUGUAGUCUGACAGAGAAGACAUUUUCGCCCUAACCAAAAGCCAUUUUAUCUUUCCAUUAACUAUUGCUGUAUUUUUCUUCUCUUCUUUCCCUUUUCCCUUUAUUCUACCUACGAUUCUGAUCGAAUCUUUGCCGACGGAGACGCGUGUCAUUUCUUUGCCUCGUCGAUCGAGCCGAACGCCGGACGGAGGAUUUGGUUACCCUGUAAAUUUCGUGAUUUGAUGAAAAAUGAUGAUCAGAAAUCUGGUGGCCUUGUUGCUCUUUGUCACGGUUAUUGCUCCGAUUGUGCUCUACACUGAUCGCCUCGCCACCGUCAAGUUAUCCUCUAAAGGCGAUCUUGUUGAAGGUUUUGCGACUUCUGGUUUCAAUAGCAACUAUGGGCAUCUGAAUCUUGUUGAUGGGAAAUCUUCAUCAAGCGUAAAAGAGCCUGUCGCGAUUAUUUACUCCGACAACGAGUUGCUUCCAGAUUCCGCUGCUUCGGUUUGGCAGAGCAAUGGCGGCGUCCAAGGAGUAAUAGAGCGUAAAUCUACUCGAGUAUUGUCCACAACUGAUGAGGAAGGUCGUUCUCAAAACGAGAAUCCCAUCAAACAGGUUACGGACCCCAUUGGGCUGCCAAAUAUCAUUUCAGGGAAUCCCAAUAGUACCAGUGAAAAGAACAGCAAAGUGGAUCCUAACACUCAAACUUCUGAAAAAGCUGAUGGGGGAGAAAUAGUAAGAUCAAGAUUUGAACACAACAAUGUUCAAGCUGCUCUUCCUAAUGCUCGGGUAAGACAUCUUAAGGAUCAGCUCAUAAGGGCCAAAGUUUACCUCUCGCUUCCAGGCACUAGGAACAAUCCCCACCUUACAAGAGAACUUCGACUGAGGAUAAAAGAAGUUCAACGAACAUUAGGUGAUGCAAGCAAGGAUUCUGAGCUACCUAAAAAUGCCCUUGAGAGAUUGAAGACAAUGGAGCAAACUCUUGCAAAAGGGAAACAAACUCAGGAUGACUGUGCUACUGUGGUAAAGAAACUGCGAGCGAUGCUUCACUCAACUGAAGAGCAGUUACGAGUGCACAAGAAGCAAACCUUGUUUUUGACGCAGUUAACAGCAAAAACACUUCCUAAAGGCCUUCAUUGCCUUCCCUUGCGCCUGACAACCGAAUACUAUUCUCUGAAUUGGUCCCAACAGGAUUUCCCAGGUCAAGAGAAACUAGAAGAUCCAGACCUAUAUCAUUAUGCGUUAUUCUCUGAUAAUGUAUUGGCAGCAGCAGUAGUUGUUAACUCAACAAUUACUCAUGCAGAGGAGCCUUCAAAACAUGUUUUUCACAUUAUUACAGAUAGACUUAAUUAUGCAGCAAUGAGGAUGUGGUUUCAGGCAAAUCCACCUGACAAAGCUACGAUCGAGAUUCAGAAUAUUGAAGAAUUUACAUGGUUAAACGCCAGUUAUAGUCCAGUACUGAAGCAGUUGGGUUCUUCAUCUAUGAUAGAUUAUUACUUCCGAGCUCAUCGGGCUAGCUCUGAUUCAAAUAUGAAGUUCCGGAAUCCGAAGUACCUGUCCAUCUUAAACCAUCUACGGUUUUACCUCCCACAAUUAUUCCCGAAGCUCAAAAAGGUUUUGUUCCUGGAUGAUGAUAUAGUAGUGCAGAAAGAUCUCACGAGACUUUGGCUCAUUGAUUUGAAGGGAAAUGUUAAUGGUGCUGUAGAGACUUGUGGAGAAAACUUUCAUCGGUUUGAUAGAUAUCUCAAUUUCUCAAACCCUCUCAUCUCAAAAAAUUUUGAUCCUCAUGCCUGUGGUUGGGCAUUUGGCAUGAAUAUCUUUGAUUUGGAUGAAUGGAGGAGGCAGAAUAUUACAGAGGUGUACCACUCCUGGCAGAAGCUGAAUUAUGACAGGCAAUUGUGGAAGCUGGGAACGUUACCACCAGGUCUCAUCACAUUUUGGAAGCGCACUUAUCAGCUCGACAAAUCCUGGCAUGUUUUAGGCCUUGGAUACAAUCCUAAUGUUGCGCAGAAGGAAAUUGAACGAGCUGCCGUCAUACACUAUAAUGGGAACAUGAAGCCAUGGCUUGAGAUAGCCAUACCCAAGUAUCGAAAUUAUUGGGCAAAGCAUGUUGAUUUUGACAAUGUAUAUCUAAGAGAAUGCAACAUUAAUCCUUGAAUGGUCCUUUUGGACUUCGAAGUUUCCUUCAUGAUUUCAACAUCCACAAUAGUUUUCCAGCUCCAUAACCUCUUUGAAACAGACGGGGUUGGAUGGGUUAAAUUCAUGGGCAAUAGACCAAAAAACAAGGCAAAACCCCGAGGUAUUAUUGUCUUUAUGUGCUUACGUAAAUAUAAUUAAACCUCCUGUUAAAGCUAACUUCUUUGUAGCUCAACUGGUUAAAGUGUAUGUAUGCUCUCGACCUAGAUGUUAAAGGUUUGAAUUCCUCAUAACAAAUGUUGCAUUGAACUCAAAUUAGAACUUUUAUCAAAAGUUGAUAUCAUCUCUGUGAACUUAUGCGAUUAAUUUGUAUUAAUUGAUUUAUUCAUCUUGGAUU